rnacentral:rRNA from 1 species
UACGUAGGGUGCGAGCGUUAAUCGGAAUUACUGGGCGUAAAGCGUGCGCAGGCGGUGAUGUAAGACAGAUGUGAAAUCCCCGGGCUCAACCUGGGAACUGCAUUUGUGACUGCAUCGCUGGAGUGCGGCAGAGGGGGAUGGAAUUCCGCGCGUAGCAGUGAAAUGCGUAGAUAUGCGGAGGAACACCGAUGGCGAAGGCAAUCCCCUGGGCCUGCACUGACGCUCAUGCACGAAAGCGUGGGGAGCAAACAGG